rnacentral:ncRNA from 1 species
AUUGAAGCGUUGAAAGAGAAAAAAGAAUUUUUAGUGAUUUUAAGAGAGUUGCCGGCUGGUGAGAGGCAAUACACGGAAAUUUAACAUACACUCUAAAGCUUAUUUGUUGAAGUUAGUAGGCAAGUACGGAAGCCACCGUUAUCUGAGGCUAGAGGUUGUUAGACCUUAAAGUGAGGUAAUCUUUUAGAUUAUAAAAUCGGGUGGUACCGCGAAGUCAGUCUUUCGUCCCAAUG